GAUGAACGCUGGCGGCGUGCCUAAUACAUGCAAGUCGAGCGAACGGACGAGAAGCUUUCUUCUCUGAUGUUAGCGGCGGACGUGUGAGUAACACGUGCAUAACCUCCCUAUAAGACUGGGAUAACUUCGGGAAACCGGAGCUAAUACCGGAUAAUAUUUUGAACCUCAUGGUUCAAAAGUAAAAGACGGUCUUGCUGUCACUUAUAGAUGGAUCAGGGCUGCAUUAGCUAGUUGGUAAGGUAACGGCUUAACAAGGCAACGAUGCAUAGCCGACCUGAGAGGGUGAUGGGCGACACUGGAACUGAGAAACGGUACAGACUCCUACGGGAGGCAGCAGUAGGGAAUCUUCAGCAAUGGGCGAAAGCUUGAAGGAGCAACGCGGCGUGAGUGAUGAAGGUCUUCGGAUCGUAAAACUCUGUUAUUAGGGAAGAACAUAUGUGUAAGUAACUGUGCACAUCUUGACGGUACCUAAUCAGAAAGCCAAGGCUAACUACGUG
rnacentral:rRNA from 1 species